ACUACAUGCUCUGUAAGAAGUUCUUAUUUCAUUAUGAAGGCUUAAACAGAGAAAGCCUUUUAUACUUACAUACUAUCUUACAACCUGCAGAUACCAUAAUCUAGCCACAAGAAAAGCUGCGGGGAGGAUGACAAUUUCGUGGAAAACAGAUUGUUGUGGGACAUUGGAAGAACCAGUUCAAGGUCGUUGGUCAUGGUCGUUGGUCAUGGAGCAGCUGGAGAUGGUGGAGCGCCGCUUCUGGGCAUGAGAAACAAGCACUGACUGUAGCCUGCGGCAUCCCCACUCAGAGUCAGGAUCCGAUUGUGCUACAAACACACUGUAUAAAUACAUUGGAAGACACAAUCCCUAACCUGCAGAAUUUGCAGCCUAAGUUUCCAAUCCUGCCUUUGGAUCAGUGACGGUGGAUGUCUUCCUACCCCUCAUGGAGCCCCAUUGAAGUCAGUGAGUGUGCAUGCAGGCACAGGUGUCUGCCUGCCUGGAACCAUUUGCAGAAUCAAGACCCAGGCAGGGGUGCUGGACCAAUUUUCAUAGUGGGGAUGCUGAGAGCCAUUGAACCAAACUGUAAAUCCGGUAUAUAAUGGAAACCACUUCAAGCCAGGGGGUGCAGUAGCACCCAAAAAAAACCCCAUUUCCAGCGCCUAUGGACCCAAGUUAAGACAAGACACACAAAAAUGUAACAAACUAUGGGGAAAAGUGGGAAAGGAGGUUUGAGGGUAUACUUUUUCUUAAAAUUCAGCACAUCCACAAGCAUUUGCAGAGUUGGGGCUUAACUUUCCCUACAAAAACAAAAGAGUAUUAAUUAAGUAAAAGGCAGAUUCAGCAAAAGAUUGGCAUGACUUCUGUGUUAUUCAGUCAUUGACAAUAAGAUAGAUUGACCUAAGGGCUUGAUCCAACUUCUACAAAAAAUCAGUAGAACAACUUCUAUCAACUAUAGUGGGAGUUAGAUCAGGUCUGAAGAUAGAAGAAAUGCUUGUUUCUUCUAAAGUGGAAUACAAAUUAGGAAAUCUGAAGUGUUUUAAGUGCUCUACAGUUUUAAAAACAGCACCAAAAAUACUGCCAAUUAGGCACUAAACAUGAAUAAGUAUGGUCAUUUGAAUCACUAGAUAUUUUUCAAAGGUCUUCUUGAGUUUUCUGCAUAAGAAUCAAG